GGAGGUGGGAGGGUGGAAGCCAGACGGGUUCAUGAAUUAUGCAUCAAGACGCUAAGGACAGCUUAGAUUUCCCCCUCUUCUUCUAGAUUUAUCUUCCUUUUAUAUGCAUAUAUCCGUGCAAAUGCAUGCCGUGAGCGCAGGUGCCCUCUGCAGACCUUGGGAGUGACAGACAGUUUCGAGCUUCCCGGUCUGCGUGCUGGGAACCGAACCUCCGGUCCUCCGGAAGAGCAGCAAGCACUCCUUACAGCUGAGCCAACUCUUCAGUCCCACAGAGACCGCGCGGAAUCUUAAAAGACAGGAGGCACAGCUCAUUUCUGAGUGGACUGGGCUGUUGUAGGGAGUUAACCUUUUUGCAGAGCUAGGGUGGGGAAACUCUCAUUUCUUUGAAUAUUCAAGAAAGGUGGGGGUCUCAAACUGAACAUAAAGCUCACCAAUUCAACACAUCAUCUGGCCAUCAAGCCCCAAGAUCCUUCCUGCCUCCCCAAGGCUGGAAUUAACAGAAGAGAACCAUCAUGCCUAGUAUUUGUCUAUAGGUGCUGGAGCCAUCCACAUCCCUGAUUCUGAUGUGGAAAGCAUUUUGCAAGCUCAUCUAUCUCCCAGCACUGUUUUGUUUUCAUAGUUUGAGCCCAGACUGACCCAAACUUAGCACAUAGCUAAGAUAGCCUGGAACUCCUCAUCCUCCUGUCUCUGUCACCCACACACUGGAAUUAUAGGUGUAAGCUACCAUGCCAAAAUGUCUCUUCCUUUUUAUUACAGUUUUGAGUGCAGCACUCAGUCUGUGUUGAUCUCAUUGGCAAAUUAGCAGGAUAAAGGCUUAAGUGGUGAGGCCAUUGUGUACCUGUAAUGCCAGCAUUCAAGAGGCUGGGGUAGUUAGUAGUCAAAGUUACGGGCAGGCCAGCCUGGGUUAUAUAGAGAGACUCUGCCUUCAAAAGAGAAGGAAGACAAGGUGAAAGAGAAGGAAAGAAGAGGGAGGGGGAGUAGAGAAAUAUGGAAGCAAAAUAGUAAUUCCCAAAAGUCCCGGUUCUCUGCCUCCUCUGUACAUUCACCAACCACUUUCCGAGCCACGUGCCUCUGGCAGCCCUCCUCCUGCCUUUUGCUGUGAGAAGCCACUUUUAAGUCCCUGGAACAAAGCUUUAGAGCAGUAAAUGUGGGACACAGUGGGGUGGGGAGGAGGGCUGUUAAUUUUAGCCUGGGGUUCUCCAGCUGGCACAGUUUCCAUCUUGAAUCAUUUCCACACCCUGAGCUCUGCUAGGAGAUCCCUCCUCCUGGGGGCUUCCCAUCCCCUGCUCUGGUCGGCCACAAUGGUAAGCAUUCCAGAAGCAUGCCUAGGAGAACCUUGGCUGAGUCACUUGAUGUACUUCCUCAACAAAGAGAGUUUGGUGAUGGGAGAUGAUGCCUCCCUCAAACUGGGCUUGUGACUUGUGGCCUCCAGGAAACUUGGAGUUCUCAAAAGAGCCACUUGGGUCUUGUUCUUUUUUCCUUUAUGACUCUAUCGCCUGAAGCCUUCAGAAGACCUGAAGCCCCAAGUCACUGUUGGAGCUUUAAGAGAGAGAAAGUUUAAGGUCUGGUUCCCUGGGCCCAUGUGUUGCCAUGGUUAGCAAGACACUGACCAAGCUGGCAUAAUUCCUCUAGGCGAUCCAGACAUCCAGACUGUCUUCUCUCUCCCAUCUUUCCACCCAUCUGCCUUUCCAUGGUGUCUUCUCUCUCCCAUCCCCCUUUCCAUGGGGGAGAGGGCAUCUGGGGAGAGGGAACAGGUGAGACUUCCAGUGUCUCACUGGUAUGUUUAAUUUAUUUAAAUUUAGGAGGACUGCAGUCUAAUCAGACGGCAAUUAAUUCCUUGUUCAUUAGGGGACUCCAUGUGUGCCUUUUGCAUAUGGAUGAGCCACAGGAUCACACUGUCCCUCUAAAGGAGAGUUGUGGAAGGUGAGAUCCCAGGAAGCCCUCCAAACAUGAGCAUCUCGCCCUUGCUCUAUCGUCCCCACUCUCCUUGGCGAGGGCUCCGGCCCUGUGGGGAAAGCUGCAGAGGUUAAGGAGGCAUCUUCCCUCGCCUUCCACAUAGCCCUUCCUUCCCAACCCCUACCUCACCCCGGCCCUCCCGGUUCCACCUGGCCCCCUCCCUUUCCAUUCCCUCUGCAGUCUCCUGGAGCACUGCGGUGACACCCCUCCUCAGAAGGCUUGUUUGCCUCAUACCUCUGCUGGUUGGUUCUUGGUUCAUUACUCCAGUUGCUGCUUUCCUCUGGAGCAGCCUGUCCUAACACUAAUCUUGUCCUAAGACAUACACUCCUUCCUUCCCACACUCCUCAUUAGGGGCUCAGCUACACUUCUUUCAAUAUACAGUACAGCUCGUCAACAUCUAAAACACACCUAUCAGCACGCACACACACACACACACACACUAUUUAUAGCAUCAAAGGUAAAACAUGGAGGUAGGUACGUUCCAGGCAGCCCACACUGCUCUCUUGGAUACUAUAUUGCCUCCUACUUCCCUGGGGCUACCCAUUUCCAGAGAGCAGGUGAGGCACAGAUGGGGGGUGGGGCCGGGAGGAACAGGACACAAGACCUAGGUGGUUGCCACAGCAACAGAGCCUAGCAACAGUGAUGUGUGGGCUUUACUAGGGCUGUUAAAGAGCCAAACCUAGAAUUGGGACCUCAGAGGUGACUGAUCCCAGUUGGGCAGCCUGUGUUCCCUUCCCAGACACACCCCUUGAUUCCACCCCCACACCUAAGCAAGUAGGAAAAGCACACUGAGCUGCACACGGGGCUCCCGGUGCAGCAUAGCUUUUUGGCGGGCAUUCGUAGGAAGGGCCAUGUUAGGAAUCAAGGAUGAAAACAGAGCAGGUACAGCACCCUCUCCUGGACCUCGCUCAUCCUCUCCCUUUGACCCUUUAUCCUCUGCCUUAGCUGUCUUGCCCAGUGUGGUGUGGUGACUCAUGCCUGUAAUGCCAGCAUUCAGGAGGCCAAGGUGGGAGAACCUAGUAUGGGCCAGCCUGGACUACAGGGUGAGAGACUCUGUCUCAAAUCAAUCAGUUGCUUUUCUGGCUUGUCCCAUUGCCUGUCCUAAGAAAUGUCCCCACUUUUCUCUCUCUUUGGUCUCUCUUGACCCUCACUAGUAAGGAACAUGCAAGUCUUAACAAACACUUCAGAUGCCAGUUCCGGCUCCUUCUCCUCUGGAGCCUCUCUCCGUUCUUCACCCUGUCCUAAGUUAAGGUAUCCAUCAGUCUCCAGCUUCAGGAAGAGCAGGCCAGGUGACAAUCUAGUCUGAAGAAGUUCCUCAUCUCUCUUUCCUCUCCCAUUCUCCUUCCCGCCCAUCUUCUGUGUGUAUGUGGUGUAUGGGGGCUGGGGGUGGGAAUUAUAAGG